rnacentral:rRNA from 1 species
UACAGAGGGUGCAAGCGUUAAUCGGAAUUACUGGGCGUAAAGCGUGCGUAGCCGGUUAUGUAAGUCGGGUGUGAAAGCCCCGGGCUCAACCUGGGAAUUGCAUUCGAGACUGCAUAGCUAGGGUGCGGAAGAGGGAAGCGGAAUUUCCGGUGUAGCGGUGAAAUGCGUAGAUAUCGGAAGGAACACCAGUGGCGAAAGCGGCUUCCUGGUCCAGCACCGACGUUCAGGCACGAAAGCGUGGGGAGCAAACCGG